GAUGAACGCUGGCGGCGUGCCUAAUACAUGCAAGUCGAGCGAACGGACGAGAAGCUUUCUUCUCUGAUGUUAGCGGCUGACGGGUGAGUAACACGUGGAUAACCUACCUAUAAGACUGGGAUAACUUCGGGAAACCGGAGCUAAUACCGGAUAAUAUUUUGAACGGCAUGGUUCAAAAGUGAAAGACGGUUUUGCUGUCACUAAGAGAUGGAUCCGCGCUGCAUUAGCUAGUUGGUAAGGUAACGGCUUACCAAGGCAACGAUGCAUAGCCGACCUGAGAGGAUGAUCGGCCACACUGGAACUGAGACACGGUCCAGACUCCUACGGGAGGCAGCAGUGGGGAAUAUUCCGCAAUGGGCGAAAGCCUGACGGAGCAACGCCGCGUGAGUGAUGAAGGUCUUCGGAUCGUAAAACUCUGUUAUUAGGGAAGAACAUAUGUGUAAGUAACUGUGCACAUCUUGACGGUACCUAAUCAGAAAGCCACGGCUAACUACGUG
rnacentral:rRNA from 1 species